CGUCGCGCCGCGCCCCCUCCCCACGUGGGGAUGGGGGUAGCGGUGCGGAGACUGGUCUCCCGUGCGCCCCGGCGCGCGGAUGGCUCAAAUGGGAUCCCCCGGUGACGCACGUCACGGCCAUUUGUGGUUGCAGUCGCCCCGUGCGCUGCCGUGCUCCGCUGCGUCGCCCGCGGGGGCAUCCGAAACGUUCCCUACGGCGCACGUCGCCAGCGUCC
rnacentral:misc_RNA from 1 species